CGUGUAGGCGGGAAGGUAAGUCAGAUGUGAAAUUCCAGGGCUCAACUCUGGCGCUGCAUCUGAAACUAUCUUUCUUGAGUGAUGGAGAGGAAAGUGGAAUUCCUAGUGUAGCGGUGAAAUGCGUAGAUAUUAGGAGGAACACCAGUGGCGAAGGCGACUUUCUGGACAUUAACUGACGCUGAGGCGCGAAAGCGUGGGGAGCAAACAGGAUUAGAUACCCUGGUAGUCCACGCUGUAAACGAUGGAUACUAGGUGUAGGGGGUAUCGACCCCCCCUGUGCCGGAGUUAACACAAUAAGUAUCCCACCUGGGGAGUACGGCCGCAAGGUUGAA
rnacentral:rRNA from 1 species